rnacentral:rRNA from 1 species
UACGUAGGGAGCAAGCGUUGUCCGGAAUCAUUGGGCGUAAAGCGCGCGUAGGUGGCCCCGUAAGUCCGCUGUGAAAGUCAAAGGCUCAACCUUUGAAAGCCGGUGGAUACUGUGGGACUAGAGUACGGAAGAGGCGAGUGGAAUUCCUGGUGUAGCGGUGGAAUGCGCAGAUAUCAGGAGGAACACCAAUAGCGAAGGCAGCUCGCUGGGACGUUACUGACACUGAGGCGCGAAAGCGUAGGGAGCGAACAGG